GACGUAGGGGGCGAGCGUUGUCCGGAUUCAUUGGGCGUAAAGAGCGCGUAGGCGGCCCGGAAAGUGGGGUGUGAAAACCCGAGGCUCAACCUCGGGCGUGCAUUCCAAACUCCCGGGCUCGAGGCAGGUAGGGGAGAUCGGAAUUCCUGGUGUAGCGGUGAAAUGCGCAGAUAUCAGGAGGAACACCGGUGGCGAAGGCG
rnacentral:rRNA from 1 species